CCAGUACUUGUGUUGUCUGAGGAUGUGCCCAGGAUCUUUGCAAAUGUGAAGGCCAUCACAUGUGGGCUGGACCUUGCCCUCCCUGGCUACUAAAAGCAGGACUGACUGAGUGGGGUAAGGGAGCGGUGUAUGCAACCUUGCAGCAAGGCACUGCGCCAGAAUGUCUAAAGAAGGAAAUAGUAAGACUUUUCUUUUAAAAGCCCUCCUUCUAUCCCACUGUACGAGAUAAUUAUUGGCCAGCCUCCAGCAUUCCAUUUCUGGGCAGGAGUUCCAGGUUUUCCUGGAUGAAGCAGAUUGUGACGAUCCAUUUCAACAGGACUUCAACUAAUGAGCUGACCACUUAGACGAGGAGGCAGGGCAGGCUGACCGAGAAGGUGGAAGACAGAACAGCAGGCUGCAAAAGACCAUUUUUUCUCCAGCUGAAGUGAAGAACUACAGGACAUGGUUGUUCGAAGCAUACAUCCAUCUUGGCUACGAGCUGCAUCCUACUUCUCCAUAAUUACAUAGCAACUGAAUCUAAAGCACAUGUUAAACUAAUUAAGGUCUCUCAGUGAAAUCUACAGCCUUAACCCAGUAUUGAUUAGUGCCUUCUGGCAAAACAAUUUUUUUUAGAAAACUAUAUAAUGAUCACUUUAAUAACCUGACAUGAAUAACAUGAUGGGUGAUACCCAUUCUGUUGUAACUAUGUCAUGGUGUUAUGAUUUGUACCAUGAGAACUCCUUUCCCUUCUUAUAUGCUAACAGGUGAUAGGAGUGAAGGAAGGAAGCCACUCCAUAAACUAUGUGU